UACGUAGGGGGCAAGCGUUGUCCGGAAUCAUUGGGCGUAAAGAGCGUGUAGGCGGCCAGAAAAGUCCGCUGUGAAAACUCGAGGCUCAACUUCGAGCUGUCGGUGGAAACUUUCUGGCUAGAGUCCGGAAGAGGAGAAUGGAAUUCCUGGUGUAGCGGUGGAAUGCGCAGAUAUCAGGAGGAACACCAAUAGCGAAGGCAGCUCGCUGGGACGUUACUGACACUGAGGCGCGAAAGCGUGGGGAGCGAACAGG
rnacentral:rRNA from 1 species